CCUACGGGAGGCAGCAGUGGGGAAUAUUGCACAAUGGGGGAAACCCUGAUGCAGCGACGCCGCGUGAGUGAAGAAGGAAUUCGUGAUGUACAGCUCUAUCAGCAGGGAGGAAAAUGACGGUACCUGAGUAAGAAGCCCCGGCUAAAUACGUGCCAGCAGCCGCGGGAAUACGUAGGGGGCAAGCGUUAUCCGGAUGUACUGGGUGUAAAGGGAGCGUAGACGGCAGGGCAAGUCUGGAGUGAAAGGCGGGGGUUCAACCCCCGGACUGCUCUGGAAACUGUACGGCGGGAGUGCAGGAGAGGUAAGUAGAAUUCCUGGUGUAGCGGUGAAAUGCGUAGAUAUUAGGAGGAACACCAGUGGCGAAGGCGGCUUACUGGACUAUAACUGACGUUGAGGCUCGAAAGCGUGGGGAGCAAACAGGAUUAGAUACCCUAGUAGUC
rnacentral:rRNA from 1 species